ACCGGGGGGCUUUGGGGAGAAAAAGGAAAAAUAAAAUCUUUAUAAAAAAAAAAAAACAAUUAUCUGGCCCUUUACCAAAGUUUGCCCAUCUUUAGUCUAUGAAAUAGGAGCAACGGUAUAUGCCUACUCCACUGUGUAUGGAUAAAAUGUGCAUUAUGUGCAUAGCACCAAGUGGAAACUCACGAAAAGUUGGUUCAUCCACUCUCUUUCCUUUUCUGUCUUAAUUCCCUUCCAUAGAGAGUUCUUAUUUCAGGGCUUAAGCCACAUAAAACCAUAAAAAAAGGAUGGCAGGCCACCUGUAACACCGUGCACUGCACAGAUGAGGCCUUCAGGCAGUAAGGCUGUGUUUGUCACCUCUAUCUUUCUGCUCCUCAGCAUCCUCUGUGGGGAUGCUGGGGAAGGGGCCAGAACUCCUUGUGUCCUCUGGGGUGUCUGGGUCCCAGACAGAGAUGGGGGUGGCCCUGCAUGGGCUGCCGUAGAGAGCAGCUUCUCUUGGAUUUAUCGGAGGCUGCAUCAUUUCUUGGUUAGGGGACUGAAACUGGGCUUGUGGCACAAAAGGUGCCUGCGGCCGCAGUUGAGUUCAUCUCAAGAUGACUGCUUGAGGGGAUGCAGCUGGAAUAGAGGGUCUUGAUUCGGUUUGAGGGAUGGCAUGGAGUCGUGGAAAGAACUGACAUAUGGGAUCUGGGCUGGAAUCCCAGCUCUGCCCCUCACAGACUCUGGGAUGGUCCCUCUCUGCACAUCUUUUCUUCAUCUGAAAAGUAGGGGUGAUGGUUUCUCCUGGGGAGGGCUAUGAACAGGGUUCCCCAGUGGGUAAGCCUGGGGAGUGCUGGGUUUUGUCUUUUUCUGCACUGAAACCCUGUGCUAGAACAGUGCCUGGCCAAAGACCUGUUUUGAAAGGGGGUAAAAUACGUGGAGUGCCUGCCACACAAUCAGUUCUCAUUAAAUAGUCAUAUUGCUGUGUCUGUUCUAAACUAAGAACCAGCAGAAUAUGGCCCACAGGCCAAGUCUGGCCCACAGCCUGAUUUUGUAAAUAAAGUUUUAUUGGGACACAGCUCCACGCCUUGGUUUACAUGUUGUCCAGGGCUGCUGGACAGUGGUGGAGUUGAGUAGUUGUGAGAGAAACAUGGCCUGCAAAGCCCAAAAUAUGUACUAUCUGGCUCUUUAUAGCGAAUCUUUGUGGCUCCUGCUCUGAAUGUCAAGGCGCCUCUGUCCGUCAGUGAUCGAGGAUUUCAUUUUCCUCUGAUUGCAGGUGUGCAAACAGUUAAAUGUUGAAAACAAGCUGCUAGCUUGAAGUAUGUAUUCUCGAUGCCCUCUCUUAAGAUACUCAGUUUUUCCUUUGAUGCUCUAAUUCCACCGCAAUAUUCCGGCACGGUCAGAAUGGACUUAUCUCCUGCUCUCGUACCUAAGAUGGUGUCACUUUCAUUUCUGUGUAAAAAGAAACUCAAACCACCUGUCAACCACUGGUAUAUUCAUUAGGACUGGCCAUGUACCUUGCAACAAGUCUAGGCUUAGGGAAGCACACAGGAGAUGAGUCAAGGUAAAAAAGGAUGACCGACUAGAUACAGCUUACUAUGUGGUAUCAAUGGAUAGAUGGCUGACAGGGAGCAGGAGGGAGUCCACUGUCUGGGCCACAGAGUGUGUAGGUUUCUGAUUCAUUCGUCCAUUGUCAUGAACAGAAUGACCUCAAACACCUUAGUUAGCCUCACUUAACCUUGAUUUUCCAAUCUAUAAAAUGGCAACAAUGAUACUCACCACACUGGGUUGUUGGGAAGACUAAAUAAGGUAAUGUAUCAGGUACCAGAAACAUGGUAACUAUUCACCUAUUUUUAUAAUGAAAUAAAUCCUUUAUUUCUCAGUUUGGGAGAGAGAUUCAAAGACCUCUGCUACAGUCGGCCCUCCUUUUGAUGGUCAGGACCCACAGUUGGUUUUGUGCAGUGGUGAAUGGGAUCUUCUGGGACUGAACAGCAUUUAUCAAGUACUCUUUGGUCUUCGUUUGAAGGGCUCCCCGUCCACUGGGCCAGCUGAGCAAUGCGGGCUGGACCCUUGCCCUGCUACCAUUGCAUAGGCAGCAGAUCUGUUUCUUCUCUUCCCUCCAGAAGGACAGAACGACAAGCCCCCGGAUUCCUAAGCCCCAACGAGAGGACCAUUCAGGAACCACUGAAGGCUGAGUUCACCAAGUGGCUGUAAGACAUGGAGUAUGUAACGUGGCAGCGUGGAGAACAGGGAAGACCCGGAGCUGGGCAAUGCUGGCCUCUACCAUGUCUGUCCACUAACACAUCAUCACUUCGGAUUCCUCUCCAGACACUUGUAACACUGCUUCAGGAAGACUUUCCCAACAUCUGGAGAAUUUCUGUGUUCCCUCUGCCAGUCUGGGAUGCCUAUGUACCAUGUUGCUGGGUCUGGGAUUCAGGCUGAAGCCAAAGGCAGUUAUCCUUUAAAGUAUCCAGCUGUAAAAAGCCACAGCCAUCCUCAUGCUCUGGGUUGCCCAGAAAUUCCAAGAAGUUUUCUUCUGCCUCACUGACGGGAACAGACUGGAAUGCACUACCGCUGAUAACAGAAGAGGCUAAAGGCCACGGAAGCAGGCAGCCCCAGGAGCAAAUCCUUGCGCCACCACUUUCUGCUCAAAGAUAUCGUACAAGUUACUUAGCCUUGGUCUUAGGUCACAUUUCCUGGGAAAGAGAAACUGAGACUGAAGUUUGUGAGGAGGCUAAUUGGGGAGUGAGCUCAGGAAGAACACUUGAGAUGGGGAGGAAGGCAGGAUUGUGCAGAGGGAGGAGUUGGGCCAUGAUGCAGUUUUAGUGGAAACCACCGGCAAUCUCACAGGGACCCUGGAGCUGGGAUGACCCUGCAGAGUUGUCCCAGUUGAGGAUAAGUGAUGGGGCUUUUGUACAUCCAUGUUGACUGGUCCCAGAUGCUGUCUGCCUUCUGAGAAAAGGGAUGAGAUGAAAGCUCCGUUUGGCCGAGUCUUGGGACAGCAGCCAGAGCUCCUGGUAGCAGGCAGAAUGGGUGCCUUCAGCCUGAGAGGGCACCUGGGUAGCCACUACAGCUUUGCCAACAUGCUCAAUAUAUCACAGGAUCAAGGAGGUGUCCUUGGUCACUUGACCUAAAAUUGCAACCCCUUAAUCUCAUAUUCCCUCUACCCUGUCUUUAAUCCAUAGUAUUUAUGGUGAACUGACAUACUUUGUACUAAUUUGUCUAUUGUCUUUCUGGAUCUGCUCUACAGUGUACUCCAAGCUACUUAAGAGCAGGGACUUUGUUUUGCUGGUGACUGUAUGCCCAGUUCCUAAAACAGGAGUUGGCAUGGAGUGAACUCUCAAUAAAUAUUUAAUUGAAUGGAAUAAAUGAAUAAAUAAAUAUAACACAUAGUGAGUGUUCACUAUAUGAGAAGCAUUCAAGUUCUCAGCACUUGCAGUAAGUAAUAUUCACAACAACUCCAUAGGGAGACCCUAUUAUUAUCCCCAUUUUACAGAUGAAGAAACUGAGGCACAGCAAGUUUAACUGUCUUGCCAAGGCCAUGCAGCUUAGAUGUCUUAUAUUCAAGAUCAGAAGAGGCAACAGGAUUCAUAUUCCAAGGCACUCUCCCCUCCUCCCUCUUCAGCAGACGCUCAGUCAGAGCCAGCUAUUCCUUCCCUUCCUUCCUUCCUCUCUUUGCUGUCUCCUGGAAUGCUUGUAUGGGAAUCACAGAGUCGCACGCUUCAGAUAUCUGGGGUGAAUCUUUGGUGUUUUAUGCAUUCAAAGGGUGAGAGCUUGGCUGAGCUCAAACUGCUGCCCUCUCUUCCCAUUUUCUCCAUACUGGUGCCUUAGAACCUGGUCAAGUCACACAACUUGGUAUUUUUUUCUUUAUUACUAUUUUUUUUUAACAGCUGUUGACAAAUGCAGAGGCUAUUAUGGUUUAUGGUGUUCCUUUGCAUGCACCAUCUCAUUUGAUCAGCUCAACAGCCCAGGGAUAUGGGCAGUGCAAGGAUGGCCACUGCAGUUUAUCGAUGAGGAACCAGAGGCUCAGAGAGGUUGCGUGAAGCUAUUUGGAAGAAGGGUUUCGUUUCUAGUUAUAAGUAAGUCCUAUUUUUCUCUGUUUUGCUCUUUCUUUUUCCUUAUUGGGGGCUGGAGGGUAGGAAUUAAGCCUGGAGCAUUUCUGCUCUCCAGAUUUAGUGAAAGUCACUUGGAACACUGGUGAGCAUUUCUCAAUGGCUUCUCCCUACUUGACAGAUGAGGAAACUGAGGCACAAAGAGGUGACAUGAUUCCCCCCGGUUGUGUAGUGCCGUCACUGGAACUGGGGUGUUAUCUCAAAGCUCACGUGCUCUUUAGGGCCCCUGCUGCCUCUUCCAAGUUCGGUGGGCGACUUCAAAGCUGCUUCUACAUUUCCUCGAGCAAUAAUAGGGUUCAUGCUUCAAAUUAAAAAAAAAUAAUACUAAUUAAACAUUAAAAAGCCAAGUUUACUUUAAAUGCACUGAGGGUGCAUUAUCACACUGCCGGCCUGAGGAGAUAUUCAAGGAGAUAGUCUUGGCAGAAUUUACUCAUUAUAAAGAGCUCCUUUUAUCCAGUUACAUCAGCCAAAUUUCACGGCAUCUUUCAGAGGCCUAAGGAGCACAGGAACAUGUAUUCUCCUCUUGGAAUUUAAUCUAAUCUUAAAGAAGGCCAGGUAGUCUUCCUGAGGCUGAGCUCCAGGCCACAGGCUCCAACCGGGAGAAAUGUAGCUUGAAAGAGCCUGUUUUACACAGGCCAGUGGAAUACUUUGUUUCUUUGCUUCUGAGCUCAAGGGCAGGUUUGAGUGGGCACCAAAGGUGGCUGUCACCAGGCAGGAAGUACACAGAAAUAUAUAUUUACUUCUUGAGAGAAAUGAUUAGGAGACUGAAUGUCAAAGUUCUGUCUUCAUGGUGGAAAAACUCAAGUCAGUUCCUGGACUAUCAGAGCUCCUCACGGCCAUAGUUUGAGAACCAUCACUCCAAUCUACACAAUGGUGGCUGUGGAGGUUUUAAGACCUGCACGCAUCUCCUUCCACAGGCCUUCUGUCAAGAGGUGGAGUCUAGUUUUCCCUCUGCCUUGAAAUGGGGCAGAAAUCUGUGACUGCCUUAACCAAUAAAAUGCCGGAGAAGUGACCAUAAGUGACUUCUGAGGCUAGAUUAGGGACAGUCAUACAGCUUUUCUCUGGCUCUCUCUUGGGACAUGUGCUUUUGGAUUGCGACCCUGAAGCUACCAUGCUGGAGGGACCACAUGAUGGACCACAUAGAGAGAGAGAGAGAGGUGCCUGAGGACCCAAGCUGAUGUCGUGUAGAACAGAAAUGAGCCUUCUCUGCUGAGUUUGGCCCAAAUUGCACAAUCAUGAACUGUGUAGAUUGCCAUUAUUUAAUUAAUUAAUUUAUUUAUUUUUUGAGGAAGAUCAGCCCUGAGCUAACAUCUGCUGCCAA